rnacentral:lncRNA from 1 species
GCUUAAUUUGAUAAAAUUUGCACUUGUCUUUUAUCAAAUUAAUAUAUUUUUGACUAUUUUUUUUUACUCCAAAUUCAUUUGUUUUGAUAAAUAAAUUUUAUAAUGGAGUAUCAAUCAUCAGGUGUAGAAUAUCUUAUUGGUAUCAUAGUAUGUAAGCAAUUAAAAAGUGCUUCUACUUAUUUACACAAACGGUUCAAGAAAAGCAGAAGCCAGAAGCAACUCCGACUUCUGCUAACCAAACAGGCACAUAGUAAAGUUCUGUUAAGACCACUUUUUAUCGGAGACCUCGGAGAACAUGCAUGUUUUGCAAAUAAAACAUUGCAAAACUUAUAAUUUUGCAAAUCAUAUUCAAUGAAAAUCAUUUUUUAAUUAAAAAUCUUGAAAAAUCAUACUCCUUCAGUUCCACCCAAAUGAUUAUAUUUGGGUGGGGCAUAGAGAUUAAGAAAAUAUGUAAAGUAAGAGUAUGAAAGAAAGAAAAGUGAGGAUAGUGAUGAAACCAUUUGAUAUUUAAUACAUAAAGUAAGGAUAGUGGUGAAAAGUAGUGGGGGUAGUUGAUUUUUAUAUUAUAAAAUUUUACUAUACUUAAUAAAUUUUGAAAUAUAGAAUGGAUGGGACAUCCCAAAAAGGAAAGUGUAAAUAAAUGGUUGAGACGGAGGGAGUAUAUGUAUUGCGAGGAAGACAUUGCAAGACUGGACAUUGCAAAACAUAGGUUGUGCAAAAGAAUGUCUGGCUUGCAAAACGUACAUUAUUUUUUGGAUUUUCAAUGAAAUAGCACUAUUCAAAUAACAUACUUUAUAAAAUAUAAUGUUGUUAAUGUUUUGGUGCAGAACAUGCAUCGUUUCCGAGGAUUCUGAUAAAAAGUGAUUUUGGAGGUCUCCGAUAAAAAGUGGUCUUCAUAGAACUUUACUCUCUAUAUCACAAACCUCCUUAAAAUACAAUAUAAAAACUAAAAAAAAUCUUAAAAUUAUAUUUAAAUAUAGCAAAAAUUGUAUUUAAAUCGUUAGGAGAUGUAGAAUAAUUAUAGUGAAGUCAGAUUGACAUGAAAAUUCAAAUUAAAAAUGGAGGGGAUUAUGUGGGAUCAUGUGUGGGAGGAUGAAUUUUAAUUGUGUGUGGUGACUUCUAGAAGGCUUGUAGUUUGUACAGUAAUUUGGUUAACUACACAACUAAAAACCUUCUUAAAAUAAAAACUAAAAUAAAAAAAAUUCUGAAUCACAUCGAAAUAGCACAUAUGAUAUGCAACUGAAAGUUGGGAGAUGAAUAAAAAUACCAUUAAGUCAGAUUUCUAAAAAACUCACCGUUGACGAGAAAAAUCAAAAUAGAAACGGAUGAGAUUAUGUGGGUUAUGUGUGGGAGAGCGUAUUUUAAUUGUGUGGAGCGUAUUUUAAUUGUGUGGUGACUUCUAGGGGCCAUUAGAUUAGAUUCGUCCAAGGGCUUGGAUUAAAUUUAUUUAAAGGCUUAGAAUAAGUUUGUACAAUAAUUUGGUUUGUAUUUGAGCAAUUGCUUAUAUAUAUAUAUUUGGUUUUUAAUGUUCUUGGUCACCAAGAGGACUGAAAUUCAGAAAGAAAAAAAAAACGAACUGGGCCUGAAUUGUGAAAGCCCUGAACCAGGACCGAAAUUUGGGUUCGCUUCUCGGUGAAUUGGGAAAUUCUAAUAUGGUCAAUUGAUGGAAUGAUUAUUCUUCUGUUUCCGAACAGGAUUUUUUUAUCGAUACAACCCUUCUGUUUCAACAACUCCCCAAGUUGUGAUCCCCCCGCCCCGCCCCUCCCCUCCCCUCCAAAAGGUGAUUUUAGUAAUUACCAAGUAUAAGUUAUUGUCCAGCAGUAUCUCGACCCAAUAUUAGGCAUCUUGCCCGGUGGAAAAGCUACAUCUAGUUCCGAACCAGCGAUUUGGUUGAUAUCCAGUGUUGUUUUUCAAGCGUGGAAGUCACCUAAUUAGAAGUUGUCAAAAUUUUAUAGCGAUCAGAGCUAACCACAAGGUAUUCUUUUCUCUCAGAUUUGCAAUUACAUAUGAAUUUGUUUAAAUUGUAAUGAUCCUCUCAUUUUUAGGAAGUAAGGGUAAAAUUGAAAUUACAUUUUCGAAUUUAGUGGUUUCAACGAGACCCUGCUGUCUACUAGCCAUCAAUUCUUCUGGGCAUAUCCCCUUGUACUCAAAUCUUGUGAGUGAUCCACAUUUUAUACGGGUAUACUUUGUUUAAGAUACAAUUUAACUGCAAAUUUUACUUAUGUAUCAAGUUCGGAGUUCGGUGCAUUUAAUAGUUUUAAUUUAGUGUCUACUAUCUACCUUAUGUGAUUCUGAUAUGUAUGUAUGAUACUUGCACAAAAUUUUCUUCAAAUUUGGUAUUCUAUCUUGAUGAGCUUUUGCCUAUGCAAGUUACAAGUAUCAUUGUUUUACGCAAAUUAAGCUAUUAAUACUUUCUAAUCGAUAGCUUCAGGAUCACAAAUCUCUUAGAUUUUAGUACCUUCAAAAGGAAACUUUUUCUCUGGGGUUAAGCAUCAAUCUCAUGAUUAAUUACGUCCAAAUAUAUGAGAUUGGUCACCAUUUGCAAACAUUACCUAAUAUAAUCCUUAACUUCUUUUAUUUGUACAAGUCGUUUAAGUCGACUGGAAUUAAAAUUUUGAAGGAUUGAACAAAUCUACAAGUUUCAAGCUCGACCUCUCAAAUCCGUAUCUUACAGAUCUAGAGGAAAAAGUCUAUGUUUCUCCACCACAUCUUAUCUCAUUUUCAAGCAGUUCAACACAUGCCUCUGAUUUACAUAUCCAUAUGUUAGGGUUUACAUCUGAUAAGUGCAGUUUAAUUCAGUUAUUUGUGGUUGUAGUUGUUUAGGUUUCUAGUGCCUAUGUUAUUUAUAUAUAUUCUAGAAAUUGUUGUAGGUGUAUUACUUUUUGCAGUUGAAAGGAUGGAGAUGACGAAGUGUGUGUGUGUGUGUGUGUUUUAUUAUUUUUUUCUUUUUGCAAUCGAAGCCAUGUAAUUGCUACGUCAUUAUGUGACUUUUAAAUCACUGCCGUGUCAGUCGCCUGACAUGUUGGUUUGGGCAUUGAAAAUUCAACUGACUCUUGACCGGUUUGUGCAAAUUAAAGAAGUCGGUGACUGGACUGAGUCAUAUUUGUGAAAAGUGAUGAAAUUGGUAGAAUCGUAUGAAAUGAAUACCAGAUAACUCAGGGUAUUAUUAUGGGUAGGGGGUGUGAUUAUUGAUUGCCAUGACCAUUAUUCAUGAGGGAGGAGAUAUGAGUCUUGCCACUAGGCAAUCAACAAAACCUUGAAUAUGCAAUUUUUUUAGUCCAACUAAUUUCAAAAACCCAGUCAUGUUAUAUGCUGAUAUCAUUACUCUCUCAACCUUCAGUGCGGUGAUUGUUGCUUGAAAUUCACUUGGUUUCUUUAAUUGACUUGUACUCUGCUAUGUUAUGUUCUGUAAUAAUUUAUAAUUUUACUUAAAGAUACAGCUUCAACUGCAGAACUAAUUAUGACAUUAUAGUAUUAGCAACAAGCCUUUUGUUUGAUUGGCAGUUAUUUGGGGUAAGUGCAUGAUUAGGUUGCCAUGUCUUGUUACAGGUUAUUAGGGUACUUAAGAUGGAUCCUGAAAUAAAUCUGCAAGAUCUUCACCCAAAAAAGAGAUGGAGGAGUGAGUUGUAUGCUCAAUUUGUUCUUGCCUGGCAGAACAAUAAUCAGUUACCUGCUGAAGGCACUCCAGAAAAAAAUGUUAAUAGCUUGGAUGACAAUCAUCAGCUGGCUGUUUAUACUCCUGCUGACGCUUCUGCUUCUGAUGGAACUGUUACUCAACCUCCACAGAACCAGGCCGGUCGGAUUGCGCCAUCUGUGGAAGCUUACACUGUCCAGUGUUCACUCUGUUAUAAGUGGAGGCUUAUUCCUUCGAAGGAGAAAUUCGAGGAAAUCCGUGAACACUUAAUAGAGCAGCCUUUUGUAUGCAGAGCACUUUAUCAGUGGCGUCCUCAGAUAUCUUGCACUGUUAAAACUGAUCUUCAACCAGAUGGUAGCAAGUUAUGGGCAAUUGAAACGCCCAACAUUCCUCGACCCCCUCCUAGGUGGAAGCGCAUUUUGAAGAUCAGGGCUUCCCAAGGAACCAGAUUUGCAGAUGUGUACGUAUUACUCUACAUUUUUUUUUUAAAUAUGGUUUAGUCUUAAUAUCUGCUGCUUCGUUUCAGUUUAAAAGUUGAGCUUUUCUUUACUUUCAGGUAUUAUUAUACACCAUCGAACAAGAGACUGCGGUCCACAACUGAAGUUCAAAGGUACUCUUGUCUCUUAGGUUUGUUUUCAGUUGAGCAGAGCGUUCAAAAACUUGCAAAUCUUUAUGUUUGGUUUAAAUGAUAAUAUUGAUGAAGUGGUCCAAAAAUUAUAGAGUAAAGUGACAUAAGGUCCUUCUACCAUAAAACAUGGCCGGCGCACCAACUUGACCUCUUCUCUGUAGUGUUUUCGAUAUUUUUCAAACAUUAUUUAGAUUCUGUUUGUAUUUGGGCAUAUUUUUAAGAAUGUAAAUGUUUGCUCUAUAUUAACCUAUCGUCAUGCAAAUUUCGCAAACUAUUGUUAUGCCAAUGGGCGCUCAGAUAUAGAUGGUUUGCUUCCCUUCAUGUUAUAGUACAAUAUGUUUAAACAGUUGAACAACGUUGUGUUCUUGGCUUGAGUCCAGCACUGACAGUGCCUAUUUGCAAUAUUCCAUAUGGGAUUACCAUUCACAGGUAUUUGCGUGAACAUCCCAAUGAGGCGGAUGGAGUUGACUUGGGCCAAUUUUCUUUUAAAAUCCCACUGUUGGUGAAGGAGAAGUCCUUGGAAGAACAUACCACCCGUGUUUUACAAGACGGUCGCAAACGCCGCAGGAUGCCUUGAAAUGGAGGAAGAAAGGAGUGAUCUGUAUCCAAUCUGGAUAUGAAUAUUGAAAUGGGCUACAUAGAGUUGGUACUUUAGUCGUGUGACAUUUGAGUGAUUGUUGAAGACUUGGCAACUGCUUUUGAUGUAAUGACAUGUAAACUGUUAGUCUCCUUGUGAAUUCAAGAGUAGAGCCAUUUUCAUUUUAUCCAAUCGACUUUCUAGUUAGUAAUUACUAUAAUUUUGUAUAAUAGAAUAUACAGAUAUAAAACCAUUUCUUUACAUAAAAUGCUAUGGGCGUCAUGUGUUUUGUGAGAGGAGUUGUUGGGGCUUGUUUCAUAUUUACCAUGACAUUUCAGCCCAAUUUUAAGAGACUUUAUUGGUGGGUUUGGUUUAACAAAUGAUGAGUAUCAGUAUUGGUUUGCUCCCUUGUGUAUUAGACCAUAUAUAUGGUGCAUUUUGCAUAGGUCAAAAGUCAAGUUUAGCUUUUUUCUCAAAAGGCUGGCUGGCAUGAAGCUUGAUCUUAGUGAAAGUAUGAUCAAGCAGCUUACCCUUCUCGGAAUUGGCCACCAUAAUUGGUUCUACCCAAUUGGAAAACUGUUUGGGAACCCAAGGCAGCUUGUUCAAGAGAAGGGGUUUCCAGAACUCCUCGUGAUUGGUGCUUUUUAGAUCAUUACCUCCUGGAAGUCAGAGUGCGGAUACAUUUCUAGCACUGAAAGACGUGGGACGACAUCAUAUUGCAGGUAUACUACUAAUGCUGGAAAUUGUUAUUGGUUUUUUUUUCUUGCAGUACUAUUAAUACUUGUAGUUUAGCCGUAGUAAGUUAUCUUGUUCUAAAGGAUCAGCACAAGGGAAAAUUUCUGGUCUAACAAACAUAUCAUCACAUCCUAGUUGCAUCAUUAACGCAGCAUCUGUUGGAGUCACAAUGCCUCCAGUAGCAGCAUGCACAACAGGAAACCUUCCCCAUUUGCCUAGUCUGGGCUUACUAUGCAUUAGAAUCUCCAAUUUCCUUGAAAAGUGUGAAAAACUUUAUCUUCAUCCAUAUCGAUAAAAAUUAAAACCUAUGUUACUUGAACUCAUCUCCGUCCUAUUUUUGGACAUGGGCAUCGGGAAUGGUAACGAUGCACUAAUAAACAAGUAGGGUAAAAAUUAUUCAUUAAAAUCAUAUAACCAAAAAACUCACAUCUAACAUGUAUUAUGAGAGACUUUGCGAUUUAGGUGUUUUAAGGUUUUCUCAUCCCAUCUUCUCAUCCUUCUCUUUUGCAUCCUAAUUAGCACUUAGCAGCAAUGUCGAUGCUGUUGUUUUAUGCAGUUAUGGAUUAAAGUGUGAUAAUUUUUGUAAAUACAAGCCUGAUUAUUUCCCUAUUAUAUGUGAAGUUAUUAUAACAAAUGCUUUCAAAUUAAAAACCAUAUAGUUUUCUGGUUAAAAAAUGAUUUACAUUUAUAAAUAUAUCAUCUGAGCCUAGAGAACAGAGGGAAGUUAUUUUUAUUAUAGGUUAAAGUGACUAGUGUUCACCAAAUCUGGUAGAUGAAGAAUGAAAAUAUAGACUUUGCAGACUUGUAAUCUAGUACAAUUGAUGGAAUUGUGAUACUUUCGAUGAAUUUACACUUGUUAAUCAGGAUUAGUCUGUCAUGUGUAUGUCAGUAUGUGGCUGUUUAGGUUUGCUUAUUUGGAAAAGACAAGCACAAUUCUCCCGCAUAAAAAGUACCUAGUUGUGUUGUGUACAUGUGCCUGUUAGGUUUAGCUUAAUUUGAUAAAAUUUGCACUUGUCUUUUAUCAAAUUAAUAUAUUUUUGACUAUUUUUUUUUACUCCAAAUUCAUUUGUUUUGAUAAAUAAAUUUUAUAAUGGAGUAUCAAUCAUCAGGUGUAGAAUAUCUUAUUGGUAUCAUAGUAUGUAAGCAAUUAAAAAGUGCUUCUACUUAUUUACACAAACGGUUCAAGAAAAGCAGAAGCCAGAAGCAACUCCGACUUCUGCUAACCAAACAGGCACAUAGUAAAGUUCUGUUAAGACCACUUUUUAUCGGAGACCUCGGAGAACAUGCAUGUUUUGCAAAUAAAACAUUGCAAAACUUAUAAUUUUGCAAAUCAUAUUCAAUGAAAAUCAUUUUUUAAUUAAAAAUCUUGAAAAAUCAUACUCCUUCAGUUCCAC